rnacentral:lncRNA from 1 species
AUUUCAACGUUUUUCCACCUCUUCGGUUGGCGUACGCUGAACUGGACCCUCGCAGCAAGAAUGGCACGCGGGAAUUGACACCGCGAUCGUGGAACACAUGGCUGAUCUGCCUCGAAUAACUGCAAGCCGGUGCGUGCGUAGUGCUGUGGAGAACGAUCAGAAGUCCUGGACGACAAAGAAAAAAACUUCAAAGCUGCCUCUGCGAACCCCGCUCCUGGACAACAGCUGGGAGGCUCUGUGUUUAAACGCGUGCACCUUGGACGUCAUGCUCGUAAAUACCAAUUC